UUUAAGGUCUAAUCUGCCCUAUGAGGAGUUAAAUGGCCGCGGUAUUUUGACCGUGCAAAGGUAGCAUAAUAAUUAGUUUUUUAAUUGGAAGCUGGAAUGAAUGAUUGGACGAGAAAAUUUCUGUCUCAAGUUAAUUUAAUUAGAAUUUUAUUUUUAAGUAAAAAAGCUUAAAUUUUUUUAAAAGACGAGAAGACCCUAUAGAGUUUUAUAUUUUUAUUUAUAUUUAAAUUUUUGGUAUUAUAUUUUAUAUAUAUAUAUAAAUAUUUUGUUGGGGUGAUAGAAAAAUUAAAUUAACUUUUUUUAUAUUUUUACAUUAAUUUAUGGUUAAAUGAUCCAUUUUUUAUGAUUAUAAGUUUAAAUUACCUUAGGGAUAACAGCGUAAUUUUUUUUUAGAGUUCUUAUCGAAAAAAUAGAUUGCGACCUCGAUGUUGGAUUAAAAUAAACAUUUGGUGUAGGGGCUAAAUAGUUAGGUCUGUUCGACCUUUAAAAUUUUACA
rnacentral:rRNA from 1 species